rnacentral:rRNA from 1 species
GAUGAACGCUGGCGGCAGGCCUAACACAUGCAAGUCGAGCGAUAAGACUAGGAGCUUGGUCCUCUGCCGGUGUCGGUGGACGGGAGAGUAACAGGUUGAUAACCGACCUAUAGGACGGGGAUAAUUUCGUGAAACCGCUGCUGUUAACGGGUAAUACAUCGUACCGCUAGUAUCAAUAGUGCAAGAAAAGUUUAGUGUGAGUUAUAGAUGGUUGCGGGCCGCGUUAGCUAGUUGGUAAGGUAACGGCUAACCAAGGCAACGAUGCGUAGCUGACCUGAGAGGAGGAUCAGCCACACUGGAACUGAGACGCGGUCCAGACUCCUACGGGAGGCAGCAGUGGGGAAUGUUCCACAAUGGGCGAAAGCCUGACCGAGCCACGCCGCGUGGCUGACGAAGGGCUUCGGUUAGUAAAUCUCUGUUGUUAGGGAAGAAGAAGAGUAUGAGGAACGAUGACUGUGUUGACGGUACCUAAUGAAUAAGCAACGGCUAACUACGUG